rnacentral:rRNA from 1 species
UACGUAGGGGGCUAGCGUUGUUCGGCAUCACUGGGCGUAAAGCGCAUGCAGGCGGAUCGUUAAGUCGGGGGUGAAAUCCCGAGGCUCAACCUCGGAACUGCCUCCGAUACUGGCGAUCUCGAGUCCGGAAGAGGUGAGUGGAAUUGCGAGUGUAGAGGUGAAAUUCGUAGAUAUUCGCAAGAACACCAGUGGCGAAGGCGGCUCACUGGUCCGGUACUGACGCUGAGAUGCGAAAGCGUGUGGAGCAAACAGG